UACGUAGGGGGCAAGCGUUGUCCGGAAUUAUUGGGCGUAAAGAGCUUGUAGGCGGUCUGUCGCGUCUGCUGUGAAAAUCCGGGGCUCAACCCCGGACUUGCAGUGGGUACGGGCAGACUAGAGUGUGGUAGGGGAGACUGGAAUUCCUGGUGUAGCGGUGAAAUGCGCAGAUAUCAGGAGGAACACCGAUGGCGAAGGCAGGUCUCUGGGCCACUACUGACGCUGGAGAAAGCGAAAGCAUGGGGAGCGAACAGG
rnacentral:rRNA from 1 species